UUUCUUCUCUUCUUCUCUCUAUAUGUUGGUGUUCUAACCAAUAAUCACCGAUACGAUAUUCUGUCCGACCGAUCCGAGAACUAACUAACAAAUGCUAAAUUGCUGACUGUAUAAAACUAUACUUUGUUGACUUACGUUAUGGUUCUGAUCUCGUGACCAUCAUUUGGUUUGAUCUGGUUUUACACUAAUACGUAUUCUACUCUGUUAAACUAUAUGUUUAACUAUCCAAAAGUUCAAAACUAUAACCUUACUAUCAAACAAGAUGUUUAAUCAUCAGAAGAUUCAGAACUAUAAAAGUAGAUGCUUAGUUAUCAGAAGACUUAGAAUCAGGAGGCUUGUUUAAUCAAGACUAUAUGCAACAAGUGAUUAAGUCUUUGUAUUCUGCAAUUACUGCCGAUAUGUGGGGUUUUGUAUACACUACUUGAUAAGCUUCACUAUUGGACAACGGGUUAGCCAAUGUGUGAUAUGACCAUAGUCACAGAUCCAGUCGAGUGACAAAUACCGAUUUGGGGUAAUUGGUUGAUAUAAACAUUGUAAUCUCUCUUAAUACUGUAAAUUAUAACAAAUGUAUUUUUGUAAAACUGAAUGAACUCACCAGUAUU
rnacentral:lncRNA from 1 species